GUGGGGAAUAUUGCACAAUGGGGGAAACCCUGAUGCAGCAACGCCGCGUGAAGGAAGAAGGCCUUUGGGUCGUAAACUUCUGUCCUAGGGGAAGAAGAAUGACGGUACCCUUGGAGGAAGCCCCGGCUAACUACGUGCCAGCAGCCGCGGUAAUACGUAGGGGGCAAGCGUUAUCCGGAAUUAUUGGGCGUAAAGAGUACGUAGGCGGUUCUCUAAGCGCAGGGUAUAAGGCAAAGGCUUAACCAUUGUUCGCCCUGUGAACUGGAGGACUUGAGUACAGGAGAGGAAAGCGGAAUUCCUAGUGUAGCGGUGAAAUGCGUAGAUAUUAGGAGGAACACCAGUGGCGAAGGCGGCUUUCUGGACUGAAACUGACGCUGAGGUACGAAAGCGUGGGGAGCAAACAGGA
rnacentral:rRNA from 1 species